AUUGAACGCUGGCGGAGUGCUUUACACAUGCAAGUCGGGCGGCAGCGCGGGGGCAACCCUGGCGGCGAGCGGCGAACGGGUGAGUAACACAUCGGAACGUACCCUGUCGUGGGGGAUAACGAAUCGAAAGAUUCGCUAAUACCGCAUACGACCUGAGGGUGAAAGCGGGGGAUCGCAAGACCUCGCGCGAGAGGAGCGGCCGAUGGCGGAUUAGCUAGUUGGUGGGGUAAAGGCCCACCAAGGCGACGAUCCGUAGCGGGUCUGAGAGGACGGCCCGCCACACUGGGACUGAGACACGGCCCAGACUCCUACGGGAGGCAGCAGUGGGGAAUUUUGGACAAUGGGGGCAACCCUGAUCCAGCCAUUCCGCGUGAGUGAGAA
rnacentral:rRNA from 1 species